UAACUGCGUGCAGACGUGUGAACUGCAGGACACAUGAACACCGACGUUUCGAACGCAAAUGGCGGUCUAAAGUAAAUUUUAGACCACGUCUGGCUGAGGGUCGGAUUUGAAAUAAAAACUAAAGUUGCCCAAACUUAUGGCUUGAGAUGUCGAUAUAUAUGUGAGCCUGUUUGGUAUAACCAAGUUUCAUCGCUGGGUUGUACAGCCCGGUUGGAAUUACUAGCUUUUGAGCAUGGAGGUAAAUGUGCCUAGCUGACUUGAGAAUAUAUAAAAUCUGUCGGUGAAAAAACAUGCCAAGCUAUGCUCUGUGAAUGCUUUUCAAUAUUAUGUUGGAGGCAUUCUCUCAAACAUACGACCUCAGAGUAGGCGAGAUUACCCGCUUAAUUUAA
rnacentral:misc_RNA from 1 species